CUCUCUUUCCAACGUCAUCUCUCUCUCUCUCUUCCUCUUCUUCUUUCUUCUUUCUUCUCUCUUCCAGCUUUUCUUCUUCUUAUUUUUUAUCUCUUUUCUCUUCCUUCUUUUCCUCUUCUUUUUUAUGUCUUCUGCUACCUUUGAUUUUGAAAUCCUAUUUUUCUCUCUUCAUUACUUCACUCUGCAUUUCUUCUUCUCCUAAGGAAUCAAACAUUUCAAGAACGAUAAACGGGGUUACUAAUCGGAAUAGGGGAUACAACGGGGGAUCUGGCAUUUCAGCGAUAUUACGGUGGCGUGUGGUUUCACGAUGGUGGAUCUGUCAUAAAGCUCCAAAACUUCUGCACAUACUUUAUGCAUAUAUUAACUGGAUCAAAAUAUGUCUUGGGAAGAUGACCCUUUUUACGAAAAUAGUGUUGCAAACAAGGUGAAUGUAGAAGGAAGCAACAUGGGUGAGAUGUUUAUAUUUCUAUUGAUACAUAGUGAAAAGGGUUUUUACCUUUGGAGAUGCAGGUUUUGUUGGGAGUGCAUUGUCAAGUAACAUAAUACAACUUUUCAAGAAAGAAGAUGAAUCAUGGGGCCAUGAAAUUGUGAUACAAGUGGAACCAUUGAAAGUGCAAGGUUUCUUCCUGAAAUGCCCGGGCUUAUAACUGAUUUUCUGAUUUCUCUUGAUGACCGCUUUCUGUACUUCGUAAACUGGCUUCAUGGCGAUAUAAGAUAGUAUAACAUUGAGGACAUCAAAAACCCUAAACUAACCGGUCAAUUAUGGGUUGGUGGCCUUUUCCAGGAAGGAAGCCCUUUCGUUGCUGUUAAGGACGGCGGUGAAACUUUGCAAGUUGAUGUUCCAGAGAUUCAGGUCAAGUAGAACAACUUUGUCUGAAAUAGUGUUGUCGAUCAAUACUAUUCUGAAUCAUGACGCUGAUUAUGCUCCACCUGUUGAUUCUCAUGAUACCAUUCAAUUUGAUGCGGAUAUGGAGAUAUCUCAUUGGAGUCUUUCGUCGAAUGAGGAGAAGCUGGCUAAAGGGGCAGAACAGUGGCAAGUCUUUUUUUUUUUAAGAUUAUGGCGCAGGACACACUGCACUUGCAUUGUGAUCUCGAUCCAUUUGAUUCUAUUGGAUUUUGAAAUGUGUUCAUGGUUGAAAGUGACACUGAUAUUACUGGACCAAAAACUCUAGGGAUGCAGCCUCUUGCUUCUCAUGCAAAGCAGAUUUGAGAGGAUGUGUCCAAGCUUUCUUCCUUUCGAGAUUUUCGAAAACAAGUCAGGUUUCUCAAGGAUUCAAUGGCAUUGGACAUGAAUAAAGCUGAGUUUGAACUUUGAAGUGGUUAUCAAGUUUGAAUGGCUUGAACCUUCUCGAAUAAGGUCUGCGAAUGGAAGAAGGUACAAUCACCAAUGAUCCUUUAUAUGACAGCAUAACACUUUAUAUGGUAUGUGUUUCUCUAAAAGUAUUGUUAGAUCCUUUAAAAAACUCUCCAUAUUUCUCUGGUACAACACCUAUAGAGAAGCACCUUGGUACAACACCUACAAAGCACAUUAUAGAGAAGCAGAAUGUAUGUGAGUCAAAAUGGAAGAUUUACUAUAUUAAUACGGUAUUGACGUUGUGUUCAAUGAACAUGUAAGAAUAUUGCUAUAUUAAUACGGUAUUGACUUAUUGGUUUCGAGUUCGAGUCAACUAAUGAGUGCACAGUCCAAUGUCUGGUCACAAACUUCUUCAACAUCUAUGGUUACUCCUCAUGACAAAUUAUUGUCAAACUUCUAUUUAUUGCUUUGUUUUUUUCUUAGUCUAUUGAUUUUGUAUUUGUUCUCAAAACAGUUUUUGACAUUUUCUUAUCAAACCAUAUUUUUCGUACCGCGGUUCACUAUAUUGUUUUUUAAAUCCUGUUGUUCAAUUAUAAUCAUGCUGAUCAAUAUGUUUCCUACAUUUUCUUAUAAUCCUACUGAUGUGUUAUAAUGACGUUGUUCAACAAGUUUUCUGCAUUAGCUUAAUAUCCUGCUGAUCAAUAUUAAUCAUGAUACAUAUACUAAUGGAGAUCGAGGAUAUGCGGCAUAUCUAUCUGAUUAGGUACAUUACUUUGACACGAGCAGCAAAUGAAACCAGCAAUAAAAAUGUUGAAAGACAUGUGGCAUAUCUUUUAAUAACAAGGGUAUAAAAAAUGUGAUACAUAUUGAUUUUUCGCGGGUAACACGUGAAACCCGCAAUGAGAAUGCUAAAACUCCACCUUCUAUUUGGAUCAUAUGUUCCGUGUAAGCAUUUUCCUUAGGAUCUAACUUCUUACAUUUUCACAGGACUUAAAAGGACACUGCUCAAAUCAGUUUUCAUUUUCCUAACUUACGUGACUAUCUUUUUAUUUUUGCUUUAGCUGUUCGGAUGAAAAGGAUCAUCACACGGUGUGGAUCACCAGUUUUAGAAAGUUCAAGCUGAAACAAUUGGUACAGGAUUCAGCUAUUCAUUAUGUGAAUGAGUUGCAUCUGAAAGUAGUGAUCAAGGUGUUGAAUGAUGCAGGACUUUCUACUGAUAAAAUGCCAUUUGAUUUCCCUCACUACUCCAUAUUAUGCGCUAUUAACUUCUCUCUACUUCUUCACUGCUACCAUGGAUAUUCUUAAAUAUAUAUAUAUAUAU